AUAUGGGGGAAAUAUUGGGACAAUGGACGCAAGUCUGAUCCAGCCAUGCCGCGUGAAGGAUGAAUGCCCUCUGGGUUGUAAACUUCUUUUACAGGGGAAGAAAGUUAUCUUUUUCAGGAUAUUUGACGGUACCCUAUGAAUAAGCACCGGCUAACUCCGUGCCAGCAGCCGCGGUAAUACGGAGGGUGCAAGCGUUAUCCGGAUUCACUGGGUUUAAAGGGUGCGUAGGCGGGUAUGUAAGUCAGUGGUGAAAUACCGGAGCUUAACUUCGGAACUGCCAUUGAUACUAUAUAUCUUGAAUAUUGUGGAGGUAAGCGGAAUAUGUCAUGUAGCGGUGAAAUGCUUAGAGAUGACAUAGAACACCGAUUGCGAAGGCAGCUUGCUACGCAAAUAUUGACGCUGAGGCACGAAAGCGUGGGGAUCAAACAGGAUUAGAUACCCCUGGUAGA
rnacentral:rRNA from 1 species